GCUGAAUACAGACGUGUGGUCAAAGUGUUGUUGAUGAAUGGUGGUGCUGAACAUUGAUUGGAUUAACUUUAACGUCUAUUAUUGUUUUUUCAUAUGAAAUUGUAAUAAUUUGCCAAAAUUAAAUGUUUUAUUUUAAUUCGUUUUAAUUCCUACUGAGCAUUUAUUUAGUAUUGCUUUGCAUCCAGUCGUCUCAUAUCUUUA
rnacentral:lncRNA from 1 species